GACGAACGCUGGCGGCGUGCUUAACACAUGCAAGUCGAACGGAGAGGCCUGCUUUCCCUUGUGGAUUGCGGGUACUCGAGUGGCGAACGGGUGAGUAACACGUGAGUGAUCUGCCCCCAACUUGGGUAUAAGCCUGGGAAACUGGGUCUAAUUCCCGAUAGGACUGCAGGGUGGUGCCUGUGGUGGAAAACGAUUUUCUAGUGGUUGGGGAUGAGCUCGCGGCCUAUCAGCUUGUUGGUGGGGUAAUGGCCUACCAAGGCGGCGACGGGUAGCCGGCCUGAGAGGGUGGACGGCCACAUUGGGACUGAGAUACGACCCAGACUCCUACGGGAGGCAGCAGUGGGGAAUAUUGCACAAUGGGCGGAAGCCUGAUGCAGCGACGCCGCGUGGGGGAUGACGGCCUUCGGGUUGUAAACUCCUUUCGACCGCGAGGAAGCCACCUGGUUGGAAGGGUGGUGACGGUAGUGGUAGAAGAAGCACCGGCUAACUACGUG
rnacentral:rRNA from 1 species